rfam:Triticum aestivum genome assembly, contig: Triticum_aestivum_CS42_TGACv1_scaffold_221779_3B
UUAUUACUCCCUCCAUUCGGAAUUACUUGUCACGAAAAUGAUGCAUCUAGACGUAUUUUAGUUCUAGAUACAUCCAUUUUCGAGACAAAUAAUUCCGAACAGAGGGAGUACUAA